CCUACGGGAGGCAGCAGUGGGGGAUAUUGCACAAUGGGGGAAACCCUGAUGCAGCGACGCCGCGUGUGGGAAGACGGUCCUCUGGAUUGUAAACCACUGUCCCCAGGGACGAAGAUGACGGUACCUGGGGAGGAAGCUCCGGCUAACUACGUGCCAGUAGCCGCGGUAAUACGUAGGGAGCGAGCGUUGUCCGGAAUUACUGGGUGAAAAGGGAGCGUAGGCGGGAAUGCAAGUUGGGUGUCAAAUCUACCGGCUCAACCGGUAGCCGCACUCAAAACUGCAGUUCUUGAGUGAAGUAGAGGCAGGCGGAAUUCCUAGUGUAGCGGUGAAAUGCGUAGAUAUUAGGAGGAACACCAGUGGCGAAGGCGGCCUGCUGGGCUUUUACUGACGCUGAGGCUCGAAAGUGUGGGGAGCAAACAGGAUUAGAUACCCCGGUAGUC
rnacentral:rRNA from 1 species